rnacentral:lncRNA from 1 species
CUGUGCCUAAUCAAAAACCUUUGAACAAAGUUAUGGCGUUCCCUUGUGCAGAAGUACAGCAGCAAAUAUAUUUUUUUAAACUGAAGUCCUAGAUAAGAAAGAUAAAAAUCACCAGUCAAGUCAAAUAAGGAGGGAAAGUAAGUAACACACCAUUCGUAAUAAUAUUCAACUGAUGCUUCUCAACACACAACCAACCCCCAAAUUACAAUAGUGGGGGCAAUUGGAGGAGCUAGCAAGGUUGACUCACCAUGAGGAUGACAUCAUAAAGCUCUCUUGCUUGCACUGGGGGACUAUCUUCUGUGAGAGCAUGAUUCAGGGGACUGCCUUCAAGCUUCCUCUUUUGCCCUCGCUGACCUUCACUAAGCAGGAUUCAUGCUGCUUGACUGGAAUCCAAACUGUGUCAAGGAGCAGUUGGGAUGCACAGGGUCAGCUCCAUGCCGUGUCCAUCACACUCAACUGAUAUUCACCUUGUUGCAGCAGGAAAUGAACCUCAACACAGUAGGAAUCAUCACUCAAUCACAUCAGGACAUUAUUCACUCAGUGAUGGUGGGUAUUGUGGUUUGGAUGUGAAACAUUCCCUGAAGCUGAUAUGUUUGAACAGCUUGUGCUUUGCAGUUGGACGUACUGCUUUGAAAGGUAUGAAUCUUAGGGAGUAGAGCCUUGCUGGAGAGAGCGGGCCACUGGGAGCUGGGAGCAGGCCUUAGGGUUUGAUAGCGUGGCCCAACUCUUUAACUCCUGACUAUAAAUGUAAUGUGGCUAGCUAUUUCACGCUCCUGCUGCCACAACCUCCCUGCUAUGAUGGACUGUAUCCCUUUCAACUGUCAGCCAAAAUAACACUUCCCUCCAUUAACUGCUUCUUGUUGGGUAUUUAGUUAUGGCAGUGAGAAAAGAAAGUAAUAUAGAGGGAGUUGUUUAUUUGCUUUUGCUCUUGGUUCUGCUUACAGUACUGAGGGAUGGAGUCCAUGGCCUUAUUCUUGUUACGCUAUGGAAGUAAAGGUGAGCUCUUCAGAAAAGCCUUUUAUCAUAAAAACAUACAAAAAGGAAACUAAGAAAAGUGCGGAAAAUUGGAGAAUUAGUAAAUGAGCAUCCUAAUCCCGAGCCCUAAUGCAGCAAUUGUCAUUCUGUCACCUUUUCUUCAUCCACCUAUGUGUUUGAUUGCUUGUUCUUGACCAGGUCUCACUAUGUAGCCCUACUGUCUGAACGAUGGCCUCAAACCCAUAGAGAUCCACCUGCCUCUGCCUCCCAAGUGAUGGUAUUUUAAAGGUGUGCACCGCUAUGCCCAACUGAGUCCUUUUUCUUGUAAGACCAUUUUCCUUGUUCUUUUUCAUCUACUAUUGUCUUCUGCACUUUUAUAUAUUCUUUUUUAUCCUUUCUUCAACAUUUUCAUCCUUAUAUAUUCUAUUUCUCUAAAGCCCCACUGGAUCCAGGUUUCAUAUUCAGAAGAACGCCUUAUGAUUAGACGCCCAACCUCACAGUAUGCCACAGUGGCCCCACUACCAAAGCUGCCAAAUUUAACCCUUGAGUUAAGGUGGAAACAUCUACAGCCACCUUCACUGGCAGGAAAUAAGAGGUCAUGAACUUGAGGGGUAUAUGGGAGGGUGUGGGAGCAUGGAAAUGGAAGGGAGAAAUGCUGUAAGCUCAAAAUUAAACAAAAAUUAAUACUCAUUGCUUGUGCAUCAGGAGAUGCUUGCUGUUAGCUUUUUGUACAAAAAUAAAAUAAAAUAAAACAUAAUGCAAAAAAGUAAAAAGGACCAUAAUCAAGAUGCGCCAUAACACAAGUGAGACUUUUCCCUUGUCAAUCUGUUGCUCAUUGAUGGAGUAAUAAUUUGAGGCUGUAAACAUUUCUGACUCCCUAAAGAAAUUACAUUACUGAGUUCUUUAAAAUGUAGUGAUAUACUUUUCAUCAUCAUCAUCAUCACCAUCACCACCAUCAUCAUCCUCACCACCAUCAUCAUCCUCACCACCAUCACCCUCACCACCACCAUCACACUCACCACCACCACCAGCAGCACCACCAGCACCAGCAGC